AAAGGUAGCAUAAUCACUUGUCCCCUAAAUAGGGACUGGAAUGAACGGCUAAAUGAGGACAAAGCUGUCUCUUACGGCCUAGCCAAUGAAAUUGAUCCUCCAGUACAAAAGCUGGAAUAAACUCAUAAGACGAGAAGACCCUGUGGAGCUUUAAAACCAAGAUCAUUAAACUAUGCUCCUUGGAUUUUUAGUUGGGGCGACUUUGGAGCAAAAAAAACCCUCCAAAACAUAAAUUUAAUUAUUUAGACCAACACACCAAGAAAAUUAUAUUAGACCCAGCAGUAUUUUUUUACUGUCUGACCAAUGAACCAAGUUACCCCAGGGAUAACAGCGCUAUCCUCUUCUAGAGUCCCUAUCGACAAGAGGGUUU
rnacentral:rRNA from 1 species